rnacentral:rRNA from 1 species
GUGGGGAAUAUUGGGCAAUGGGGGAAACCCUGACCCAGCAACGCCGCGUGAGGGAAGAAGGUUUUCGGAUUGUAAACCUCUGUCCUUGGUGACGAAGGAAGUGACGGUAACCAAGGAGGAAGCCCCGGCUAACUACGUGCCAGCAGCCGCGGUAAUACGUAGGGGGCAAGCGUUGUCCGGAAUGACUGGGCGUAAAGGGCGUGUAGGCGGCCGAUUAAGUCUGGAGUGAAAGUCCUGCUUUCAAGGUGGGAAUUGCUUUGGAGACUGGUUGGCUUGAGUGCGGAAGAGGUAAGUGGAAUUCCCAGUGUGGCGGUGAAAUGCGUAGAGAUUGGGAGGAACACCAGUGGCGAAGGCGACUUACUGGGCCGUAACUGACGCUGAGGCGCGAAAGCGUGGGGAGCGAACAGGAUUAGAUACCCGGGUAGUCC